CGGCCCGCGUCGGAUUAGCUAGUUGGUGGGGUAAUGGCUCACCAAGGCGACGAUCCGUAGCUGGUCUGAGAGGAUGACCAGCCACACUGGGACUGAGACACGGCCCAGACUCCUACGGGAGGCAGCAGUGGGGAAUAUUGGACAAUGGGCGAAAGCCUGAUCCAGCCAUGCCGCGUGGGUGAAGAAGGCCUUAGGGUUGUAAACCCCUUUCAGCGGGGAAGAUAAUGACGGUACCCGCAGAAGAAGUCCCGGCUAACUCCGUGCCAGCAGCCGCGGUAAUACGGAGGGGACUAGCGUUGUUCGGAAUUACUGGGCGUAAAGCGCACGUAGGCGGAUUUGUAAGUCAGGGGUGAAAUCCCGGGGCUCAACCUCGGAACUGCCUUUGAUACUGCAAAUCUCGAGUCCGGAAGAGGUGAGUGGAAUUCCUAGUGUAGAGGUGAAAUUCGUAGAUAUU
rnacentral:rRNA from 1 species